AUUGAACGCUGGCGGCAGGCCUAACACAUGCAAGUCGAGCGGAUGAAGGGAGCUUGCUCCUGGAUUCAGCGGCGGACGGGUGAGUAAUGCCUAGGAAUCUGCCUGGUAGUGGGGGAUAACGUCCGGAAACGGGCGCUAAUACCGCAUACGUCCUGAGGGAGAAAGUGGGGGAUCUUCGGACCUCACGCUAUCAGAUGAGCCUAGGUCGGAUUAGCUAGUUGGUGGGGUAAAGGCCUACCAAGGCGACGAUCCGUAACUGGUCUGAGAGGAUGAUCAGUCACACUGGAACUGAGAAACGGUCCAGACUCCUACGGUAGGCAGCAGUGGGGAAUAUUGGACGAUGGGCGAAAGCCUGAUCCAGCCAUGCCGCGUGUGUGAAGAAGGUCUUCGGAUGGUAAAGCACUUUAAGUUGGGAGGAAGGGCAGUAAGUUAAUACCUGGCUGUUUUGACGUUACCAACAGAAUAAGCACCGGCUAACUUCGUG
rnacentral:rRNA from 1 species